rnacentral:lncRNA from 1 species
UGAUCAAAAUAACUCAUUUACAAGUGGGUGAUUAUGUACUCUAAUCAACCAUGGAUAAAUAAAAGAAUGAAACGUAAUCCCCUUCCAAUGGCUAAGAAACUUCAAACUAUCUUCUCAUCAUCUCCUCUAGCGGAUGAUCCUUGAUUUAGCGAAGAGAUGAUAUCUGAUUCCUAAUCUGUUUAUCAAUAGUUCGGGUGAGCUUCUCCGUCGUGACCCAAAUACCUCCAUGCCUCCGCGAGUUCCGUUCUUUACAGACAGAGUAGAAGACUGUCUGGAACACCAUCUUCUUGAGCACAGAUCCAGUCGACUAUGAGCAGGUAGCAUAAGAGAGGCUACGGUAUGGUUCCAGUCAAGAGUUAUGGCACUUCCAAUCAGUCUUCCUGCAAUGUUCAUCCAGACCGUGAACGAGUACAGACAUGCAAAGAACAUGUGAUCCAUGGUUUCGUUCUUCUCUCCACAAAGGAUACAACACUGGUCGAUACCCCCAACUUUUCAUUCUAUCUCAUGUGGAUAAACGAUUUCUAAACGCAAGCCAUACCAUACCAUAAAAGCAAUUUUCCUCCAAGUGACAUCACUUCUUUUAUCUCGUAAAUAAUUUCAGGUCUUGGCAAAAGAGAAAUUGGCUUUGAAGUCGUCAUGAUCAGCUCUCCAAAGCAUGACGUCCUCUCCAGAGAGUGUCGACUAGGCACCGGCCUCGCAUUUAGUUUCACGUAGACUUCAGAGAACCGCCUCUGCCCUCUACUACGGAUCUUCCAACCAGACUCACUGACCACAUCAGAGAUAAUAGCAGACCGAGGGACCCCAAGUACCCUAUACCAAUCUCCCCGGUUUCAUCCAAAAGUCUUCCUGUACCCAGCCAAUUAUCAAGCCAAAAAUAGGUUGAUCUCCUAUUAUUAACCUCAUACCUCAAACAAUCAUAAUAUCAUAUGCCAAUUAUAAAGCCAAAAUUUCCUAUUUUCUCUAUGGGCCAGUAAAAUUGAUAAGUAUAUUGUAACUCUAAAUCUAAGAGGGGGACUAAAUCUAAUCUACG